UACGGAGGGUGCAGGCGUUAAUCGGAAUUACUGGGCGUAAAGCGCGCGUAGGCGGCUGGGUAAGUCGAUUGUGAAAGCCCCGGGCUCAACCUGGGAAUUGCAGUCGAGACUGCUCGGCUAGAGUGUGGGAGAGGGUGGUGGAAUUCCCGGUGUAGCGGUGAAAUGCGUAGAUAUCGGGAGGUUUAUUUAAUGAGACGGCGACCACCGAGAUCUACACUGACGCUGAGGUGCGAAAGCGUGGGGAGCGAACAGG
rnacentral:rRNA from 1 species